rnacentral:misc_RNA from 1 species
UUUCCGUAGGUGAACCUGCGGAAGGAUCAUUAGUGAAUUCGAGUCGCUUCGGCGCUCAACCCCCUCACUUUCUAACUCUGUGCACUUUGUAGCCGGCAAUGGAAACGCAUUAUAACUUAGUGCUACUACUUGCGCCUGGCCUAUUACCUUUUUAAACAUCAGUCAAUGAAUGUCAUAAUACAAAACAAAAAAAACUUUCAACAACGGAUCUCUUGGCUCUCGCAUCGAUGAAGAACGCAGC